AGCGAACGCUGGCGGCAGGCCUAACACAUGCAAGUCGAACGAACCCUUCGGGGUUAGUGGCGGACGGGUGAGUAACACGUGGGAACGCGCCUUUAGGUUCGGAAUAACUCAGGGAAACUUGUGCUAAUACCGAAUGUGCCCUUCGGGGGAAAGAUUUAUCGCCUUUAGAGCGGCCCGCGUCUGAUUAGCUAGUUGGUGAGGUAAUGGCUCACCAAGGCUACGAUCAGUAGCUGGUCUGAGAGGAUGACCAGCCACAUUGGGACUGAGACACGGCCCAAACUCCUACGGGAGGCAGCAGUGGGGAAUCUUGCGCAAUGGGCGAAAGCCUGACGCAGCCAUGCCGCGUGGAUGAUGAAGGUCUUAGGAUUGUAAAUCCUUUCACCGGUGAAGAUAAUGACUGUAGCCGGAGAAGAAGCCCCGGCUAACUUCGUGCCAGCAGCCGCGGUAAGAC
rnacentral:rRNA from 1 species